CUGUAAUGGAGAGGAAAUUAUUAAGGCUACUUUGCCUGUAUUUUCCUCCCCUUCAGGCAGUGCAGGGGUGCAGGUGACACCCCAGUGAUGCCCUGCAUUUUGACCUUCUGGUGACGAGGCCUGGACCAGUCAGCAACUUCUGCAUAGACCCCAGUGCUGGGCUGGAGCCUCAGAGCACAGAACUCCUGGCCCAGGAAGAGUGAUUCUCAGAGAUCCUGAAGGAAUACGAGCUUAAGUGCCGCUAAGAACUGUCUCUCUGCACGUGAUGCUUUGGCCACACCAGAGGAUAAAGGUGAGCCCGUGCUGGUCUGCAGUGUGACGUGACCCCCGCCUCCUGCCUGCCACACCCCGAAUCCCGGUGCCCCUGCAGUCCUGCGUAUGGGUCACCUGUGUAGCCCUUCUCAGAGACCGAGUGCUUGUGUGGGUUUUGUGGUUAACUUUCUGGAAGGAACUCUCCUUCCUGUCGUGUUUUCUCCCCCACUUUGAGCACCUGUGACUAACCAGCACUUAAUACGUUGCUUUAGUGCACCUGAAUUUUUUCAUACAGGUGUAACCCUCUUUGUUUUUUUCACAUGACUGUCACCUAACCGUUGCUACUCAUUUCACUUU